UACAGGGGGGUGCAAGCGUUGCUCGGAAUCACUGGGCGUAAAGCGAGCGCAGGCGGCCGAUUAAGUCAGGGGUGAAAUCCCGGGGCUCAACCUCGGAAUUGCCUUUGAUACUGUCUGUCUUGAGUUCGGGAGAGGUUGGCGGAAUUCCUAGUGUAGAGGUGAAAUUCGUAGAUAUUAGGAAGAACACCAGUGGCGAAGGCGGCCAACUGGCCCGAUACUGACGCUCAUGUGCGAAAGCGUGGGGAGCAAACAGG
rnacentral:rRNA from 1 species